rnacentral:siRNA from 1 species
GGUUGUCAAUCCAAAUGGGUGUGA